rfam:Cricetulus griseus cell line CHO-K1, whole genome shotgun sequence.
GGAUGAGAAGAAUUUUGCUGCAAUGCCUGCCACUCUGGUUGUAGCCAGAGUUGAUUUGGCUGAUCUGGUCAACUAAGCAGGUGGCCCCUUCCUUCCUCCAAACUUAGUUUACAAGCUACAGGCUCCAUCCAAAAACGAGAUGGCCUUCCCCAAUAGAAGACGAUUCUUUGGUCAAGUGUGUAUGAGUAGCUGUGCUUAUGUACUAGAACUUCAAUAAAAAGCUCCCUUGGUCCAUUUGUAGGAGAAGGGAGGUUAAGCAAGCUUCCAAAACUUCAGAUAUUAUCUAGAUGUGGUACUGCAUAGGUAAAGUUGUCU